rnacentral:rRNA from 1 species
AGUGGAUGGGGAGCAACCUAGUUGUGCGUGUGUAAAGGUAGUGCCAAGAAAAGCGAUGAUCAUGUUGAAAAUCAAUUCCCGGUACCCGAAACCGACACAGGUGGGCAAGUAGAGAAUACUAAGGGGCGCGAGGUAACUCUCUCCAAGGAACUCGGCAAAAUGACCCCGUAACUUAGGGAGAAGGGGUGCCACCGAGAGGUGGUCGCAGUGAAGAGGCCCAGGCGACUGUUUAGCAAAAACAUAGGUCUCUGCAAACUCGAAAGAGGAGGUAUAGGGGCUGACGCCUGCCCAGUGCCGGAAGGUUAAAGAAGUUGGUCAGUUUUAGGAUGAAGCUAGCGACUGAAGCCCCGGUGAACGGCGGCCGUAACUAUAACGGUCCUAAGGUAGCGAAAUUCCUUGUCGGGUAAGUUCCGACCCGCACGAAAGGCGUAACGAUCUGGGCGCUGUCUCGGAGAGAGGCUCGGCGUAAUAGGAUUGUCUGUGAAGAUACGGACUACCUGCAUUUGGACAGAAAGACCCUAUGAAGCUUUAUUAUAGCUUGGAAUUGUGUUCGGGCUUCCUGUGCGCAGGAUAGGUGGGAGGCGUAGAAGGUAUUCUUGUGGGGAUACUGGAGCCAACGGUGAGAUACCACUCUCAGGAGGCUAGAAUUCUAACUUAAUUAAGGACAGUUUCAGGUGGGUAGUUUGACUGGGGCGGUCGCCUCCAAAAAGGUAACGGAGGCGUACAAAGGUUCCCUCAGACUGGUUGGAAAUCAGUCGAAGAGUGCAAAGGCAGAAGGGAGCUUGACUGCGAGAAGUACAGUUCGAGCAGGGUGGAAACACGGUCUUAGUGAUCCGACGGUGCUGUGUGGAAGGGCCGUCGUUCAACGGAUAAAAGUUACUCUAGGAUAACAGGCUGAUCUCCCCCAAGAGUUCACAUCGACGGGGAGGUUUGGCACCUCGAUGUCGGCUCAUCGCAACCUGGGGCGGAAGUACGUCCCAAGGGUUGGGCUGUUCGCCCAUUAAAGCGGUACGUGAGCUGGGUUCAGAACGUCGUGAGACAGUUCGGUCCAUAUCCGAUGUAGGCGUGAGAAUAUUGAGAGGAGCCUUCCUUAGUACGAGAGGACCGGGAAGGACGCACCGCUGGUGUACCUGUUAUGAUGCCAAUUGUAAACGCAGGGUAGCCAAGUGCGGAGAGGAUAACCGCUGAAAGCAUCUAAGUGGGAAGCCCACCUCAAGAUGAGUAUUCUGGUGUAAGGUCACGGGAAGACGACCCGUAAAUAGGCACGAGGUGGAAGUGCAGAGAUGUAUGAAGCCGAAGUGUACUAAUAGACCGUCGGCUUGACC